rnacentral:lncRNA from 1 species
GGAAGGCUUGAUUGAAAACAAUUCAGGAUUACAAAGAAUGCAGACAUCAUAUGACUUGCUCGGUAAUUUAGUUGUCAGAUUUUUAUUUUAUCAAUCCUACAAAAUUGAUCGCUUUGGUUUUAGAAGAUGUUUCAAAGGAAAAGCUCAUUUAAAAAACCCAGGAGUUAAACGAAACAGUUAACCAACCAUCAGCCAAGAAAUCAGAAAAGAACAUCUAACCACGGUUGGCAUGAAGAUACAAAAGCCUUGACUUUAUAGGCAGAGAAAGUAUAGAUAAAUGAAUUAACCAAUCCCUUUCAGGUUUCCUUAUAUUUGAACUUCACAGCCGGAGAAAUGACAGAAUAAAAUCUCCAUCAAUAAUUAAGGAAAAAAUACUACCAACAUAAAGGUGACAUGGACACCAUGCUUAUACAAAAAAGGAAGCUACAGAGAAAACAUACUUGCUUCCCACCUUAUUUAUACAUAGGGGUCUGGAAAUAGGAGCUGACAAAUAUUCUACCAGAAUCCACAGACACAGACCUAUAUUAGUAUCUGACUACUCUUAGUUGGAUGUGAUGAUCAGUACAACAGUGUGAAUUACUUGACUUCAGUUCAUUUAAGAUGAGAUGAAGGGCAAAGUAGGCUCAAAUCAUUAUGAAAAGAGCCUACCAUGCUAUUCAUUGACAAAAGUGGAUUAUGCAGGUGGAUGGAAAACUAAUGCAUAACAGCACAGAGAACUCUGAAAAAUCCACAUUCACAUUCAACUUCAACCUCUUUAACUAGCCAUAGCAGAUCCAAAAAAGAAAAAAAUAGUAUAGUCAUAAGCAGAUGAUUGAUGUAAAUAAAAUUAAGCUAAUUUAUCCAUGAACACGUACAAAAUUCACAAUAACCCCCAGUUAAAAAAAUUUUAAAAGAGCGCAAAGCUAAAUGUCUACAAUUUUCCUUUUCCCGACUCCCACAGAAACUAGGGCAAAGUAGGCUCAAAAAAGAUGAGAUGAGAUGAAGGACAAAGUAGGCUCAAAUCAUUAUGAAAAGAGCCUACCAUGCUAUUCAUUGACAAAAGUGGAUUAUGCAGGUGGAUGGAAAACUAAUGCAUAACAGCACAGAGAACUCUGAAAAAUCCACAUUCACAUUCAACUUCAACCUCUUUAACUAGCCAUAGCAGAUCCAAAAAAAGAAAAAAAUAGUAUAGUCAUAAGCAGAUGAUUGAUGUAAAUAAAAUUAAGCUAAUUUAUCCAUGAACACGUACAAAAUUCACAAUAACCCCCAGUUAAAAAAAUUUUAAAAGAGCGCAAAGCUAAAUGUCUACAAUUUUCCUUUUCCCG